rnacentral:lncRNA from 1 species
AGAUGAGGCCAGUUCCUGACAACAUGCUCAGCUCCAGAGUUCAUCUUUUUUAAUAAAGGUGUAGCAAGAUUGGUGGCUGCACAGAAAAAAAAGCCACAGCGAGUGCCACAAAAAUGGUUUAAGAGCUGAAGAAAGUGCUUUAGAGUGAGAAAUGUAGAGAGCACUAUCUGUUUAGCUGAUGAAAAAGAAGACCAAGAGGUGGCUUGAUUACAAUGUACUAUAUUACCUUCAUGAAACAGUGGGAACCGUGAAGUUCUUUAAUGUAGGAAAUAACAAGAUUCAGUAGCUGGAAGCAUGAGACAGACAAAUCUGAGAUGGUAGGAAUGCAUUUUUAAGCAGGGUGAAAAGCUCUGAACAAGGAAUUGAUGGACAUAAUGAAUCCUCCACCUCUUGGUGUCUUCUGAUCAGGAUAUACAGCUUCACCAAGCAGAAGUCAUGUUUUUGUCAAACACACCGUUGCCAUCUCCCUCAUUUUCAUGAAAGUCAUCCUUUAGCAUUACUAAUGGCUGAGACUCUAUGUGGCAGUAAAGAGAAGGGAAAAACAGAAUGGCCCAGAAAUUAUUGCCCAGAAUAUUUUUAAAUACCUAGUAAUUGCAGCAGAUUUUAAAUAUUUGAAGAAAGUAGUUUGCACAAAACCUCUGAUCUGCAUUCUUUCAAAGAAACUCCUGGCUUGCAAGCUUCUUCCUUUCUUUUACUUGCAGAAAAGUUGGCAGAAACACACGAGCAUUUAACAGGUUUUUCCCAGUGCUGCAUCUAUUGAUGGCAAAGACGGAGAUUCAAAUGCCCUAGGAAGGCUGUCAAGAGCCAGUGGGCACCAGGCAGUGACAGCAGACUUACAAACCAAGAGCAGCCUACCUACAAGCAUGGGUGAUAGCUACCCUAAUCACCACCCCUACAGACCUUAGCCCAGAUCCUGUCUGGCAGAAGCGAAAGGAGAAGGAGGAGGCAGGACAAGGAUGGGCUAGGAGAGCACUGCGGCAAACGGGAUUUCCACCAAACGGCUUUGCUCCUACUGUGAGCCCUGAUCUCCCGCAGCUGGGUCUCCUUCUUGCGCUGGUCUUCCCAGCUGCUGAAACCUCAUACCAGCCCCGCUGCCCGGCUGAGCAGACAGCUCAGUACGUGGGACCAAGCUGGAUGGCUGCCCUUUCACCUGCUCCUGCCAGAAAAGUGUGCUGCACCCCGGGAGCCUCGAGACGGCGUUCAGACCUGCUGACCCCUGCGCAGCCCCAGAAAGACAAAGGGUGAAAUAAGACUCUGUUAACAAGAGACAGCACGCCACAGAAGGGAGGGCUGGCGGAGCCUGGACAGCUAUGGGGGGACGGAUCCUGGCCACGGAAGCAAUGGAGCUGCUAAGACCAGGCUGCGCCUCAAUAGCGCAGCUUAGUCCGCACCAGUCCUACCAUAAUCCCCAUGUUGAAGUGUGCAAGCCAUGAAUUAAACCCAGGAAGUAAUUAAACAUCAUCUACUUUAACAGCCACUAGCAGGAAAAUAAAUAAGACAUCCCAACAGAGGAAGAUAGAGUAAUUUCACGUUUACGCUUCCAAGGGAAAAGGGAAUUUGAAACAAACAAACCAUCUUUUUUUUCCUGCAGAAAGAGAAACUCAAUUGCCUGUCAAAGCGGGACCAUAGCGACACCGAGGGCUCUGCGCAAAAUUCUUCUGUUUGCUUCUGCAUUUGAUUAGCUGCCUGCGUUAUGUGUUUUAAUUUCCUGCCGUUGAAGCGCAUUGCUGUCAUGGUGAUAGAUGCUAUAGAAAUGAAUAAAAUAAAUAAAUAAAA